rnacentral:rRNA from 1 species
GGAUCAUUACUGGGUUCAAAGGCUUCGUGCCUACCACCCGUCCUCUGUCACCCACAAACACAAUGCUUCGGCCGCUGGUCGCGCACAGCCCUCUGGGGCUGGCGGGGUCACGGUCGGUCUUCCAACUCUUGAAUGAAUUUAUGUCGUCUGAAGCAAAGAUUAAAAACGAAAAGCAAAACUUUCAACAACGGAUCUCUUGGUUCUGGCAACGAUGAAGAACGCAGCGAAAUGCGAUAAGUAAUGCGAAUUGCAGAAUUCAGUGAAUCAUCGAAUCUUUGAACGCACAUUGCGCUCUCUGGUAUUCCGGAGAGCACGCCUGUUCGAGCGCCAUUUCAACCCCCAAGCAAAGCUUGAUGUUGGACGCAGCAGAGCCUUCUGCUCGUCUGAAACCUCUGUGGCGCCGUCCGUCGAGCACCAGCGUGGCAAGCAACCUUCGCUUCGUGUCUCGAUUGUCGGUCGCCGUGAUCUACCUUAUUCACAUCAGGUUGGCCUC